AGUGAACGCUGGCGGUAGGCCUAACACAUGCAAGUCGAACGGCAGCACAGUAAGAGCUUGCUCUUACGGGUGGCGAGUGGCGGACGGGUGAGGAAUACAUCGGAAUCUACUUUUUCGUGGGGGAUAAAGUCGGGAAACUUACGCUAAUACCGCAUACGACCUACGGGUGAAAGCAGGGGAUCUUCGGACCUUGCGCGAUUGAAUGAGCCGAUGUCGGAUUAGCUAGUUGGCGGGGUAAAGGCCCACCAAGGCGACGAUCCGUAGCUGGUCUGAGAGGAUGGUCAGCCCCACUGGAACUGAGACACGGUCCAGACUCCUACGGGAGGCAGCAGUGGGGAAUAUUGGACAAGGGGCGCAAGCCUGAUCCAGCCAUACCGCGUGGGUGAAGAAGGCCUUCGGGUUGUAAAGCCCUUUUGUUGGGAAAGAAAAGCAGCAGGUUAAUACCCCGCUGUUCUGACGGUACCCAAAGAAUAAGCACCGGCUAACUUCGUG
rnacentral:rRNA from 1 species